rnacentral:rRNA from 1 species
UGGGGAAUAUUGCACAAUGGGCGGAAGCCUGAUGCAGCGACGCCUCGUGGGUGAUGAAGGCCUUCGGGUUGUACACUCCUUUCGACAGGGACGAAGCUUUUGUGACGGUACCUGUAUAAGAAGCACCGGCUCACUACGUGCCAGCAGCCGCGGUAAUACGUAGGGUGCGUGCGUUGUCCGGAAUUACUGGGCGUAAAGAGCUCGUAGGUGGUUUGUCGCGUCGUCUGUGAAAUUCCGGGGCUUAACUCCGGGCGUGCAGGCGAUACGGGCUGAGUGGAGGGCUGUAGGGGAGACUGGAAUUCCUGGUGUAGCGGUGAAAUGCGCAGAAAUCAGGAGGAACACCGAUGGCGAAGGCAGGUCUCUGGGCAGUAACUGACGCAGAGGAGCGAAAGAAUGGGUAGCGAACAGG